rnacentral:rRNA from 1 species
CGGACGGGUGAGUAACGCGUGGGUAACCUGCCUUGUACUGGGGGACAACAGUUAGAAAUGACUGCUAAUACCGCAUAAGCGCACAGUAUCGCAUGAUACAGUGUGAAAAACUCCGGUGGUACGAGAUGGACCCGCGUCUGAUUAGCUAGUUGGUAAGGUAACGGCUUACCAAGGCGACGAUCAGUAGCCGACCUGAGAGGGUGACCGGCCACAUUGGGACUGAGACACGGCCCAA